CCCACCUGCGCUUAGGGGCGCGGUGCUCCCGUAGCCCGCUGGGCGGCGCUGGGCCCCCGUGGGUAACGCGCUCCUCCUCGUGGUCGGGACGGCGCGGGGGCCCGGGAUGGAGCCCGGCUCGGGGCCUGCGGCUCACUCUCUUUCUGGCGCAUGAAUAAAUAAAUAUAAGCAAAUAAAAUCUUAUAUAAAAAAAGAAGGAAAGCGGAGAAAGGAGAUACACAUUUAUCAGCUGUCCACUACAGAGAGGUAUCAGUGGCUGUUUUAUAAAUGUUGUCUCAUUAAAGCCUGGGUUGAAAGUACCCGCACUUCACGGGAAAGGAAACCGAGGCCCAGGUAAGCCAGGGGACUUGGCCAAAGUCACGCAGCCACACCGGAGUUACAGGAUGUGCAGCCCCCUGGGGGCUUACCCCAAAGACACGGGCAGGGCAACGCCGGGACCCCUGCACCCCGACGCUCACCGCCCCGACGUCCAGGGCAGCCACCCUGGGGGGGAGCCUCGGGGCCCACGGACAGGUGAUGGGCAGAGAAGCGGGGGGCUGUGGCGACAGUGGGACAUCCCUCAGCCACUAGAAACGACAAAUACCCACCAUGUGCUUCCACGUGGAGGGACCUGGACGGGAUGAUGCUGAGUGCGGCACAAGGCAAAAAACCUACCUACCGACAUGUACAGGAUUUUUAUUGGCCUACAGCUCCAACCCCUGUUCCCGGAACACCUGGGUGGCUCAGCGGUUGAGUGUCUGCCUUCAGCCCAGGUCGUGG